rnacentral:rRNA from 1 species
UAGGGAAUCUUCCACAAUGGGCGAAAGCCUGAUGGAGCAAUGCCGCGUGAAUGAAGAAGGUCUUCGGAUCGUAAAGUUCUGUUAUUAGAGAAGAACAAGUCAAGGAGUAACUGUCUUGACUUUGACGGUACCUAACCAGAAAGUCACGGCAAACUACGUGCAAGCAGCCGCGGUAAUACGUAGGUGACGAGCGUUGUCCGGAAUUAUUGGGCGUAAAGGGAGCGCAGGGGGUUGGAAUAGUCUGAUGUGAAAGCCCACGGCUUAACCGUGGAAGGUCAUUGGAAACUGUCCAACUUGAAUGCAGAAGAGGAAAGUGGAAUUCCAUGUGUAGCGGUGAAAUGCGUAGAUAUAUGGAGGAACACCAGUGGCGAAGGCGACUUUCUGGUCUGUAAUUGACGCUGAGGCUCGAAAGCGUGGGUAGCGAACAGG